AGAGUUUGAUCCUGGCUCAGGACGAACGCUGGCGGCAGGCUUAACACAUGCAAGUCGCACGAGAACGCUCCUUCGGGAGCUAGUACAGUGGCGGACGGGUGCGUAACGCGUAAACAACCUGCCUUCAAGCGGAGGAUAACCACGGGAAACUGUGGCUAAUACUGCAUAACGUCCAGAGGCCGCAUGGCCCCUGGAUCAAAGCCUUCGGGCGCUUGAAGAUGGGUUUGCGUCGGAUUAGCUCGUUGGUGAGGUAACGGCUCACCAAGGCAACGAUCCGUAGCUGGUCUGAGAGGAUGAUCAGUCACACUGGCACUGAGACACGGGCCAGACUCCUACGGGAGGCAGCAGUGGGGAAUCUUAGGCAAUGGGGGAAACCCUGACCUAGCCAUGCCGCGUGGAGGAAGACACCCCUAUGGGGCGUAAACUCCUUUUCUGUCGGAAGAAAACCCUGUUUUUCAGGGCGUGACGGUACGACAGGAAUAAGCACCGGCUAACUCCGUGCCAGCAGCCGCGGUAAUACGGAGGGUGCAAGCGUUGUCCGGAAUCACUGGGCGUAAAGGGUGCGCAGGCGGGGCAGCAAGUCGGAGGUGAAAGCCCACGGCUUANCCGUGGAAGUGCCUUCGAAACUGCUGCUCUUGAGUCCCAGAGAGGUCGCCGGAAU
rnacentral:rRNA from 1 species